UACGGAGGGAGCUAGCGUUGUUCGGAUAUACUGGGCGUAAAGCGCACGUAGCGGCGCCGUAAGUCAGGGGUGAAAUCCUGGAGCUCAACUCCAGAACUGCCUUUGAUACUGAAGAUCUUGAGUUCGGGAGAGGUGAGUGGAACUGCGAGUGUAGAGGUGAAAUUCGUAGAUAUUCGCAAGAACACCGGUGGCGAAGGCGGCCUG
rnacentral:rRNA from 1 species